GCCGACGUAGCUCAAUGGUAGAGCAAUGGUUUUGUAAACCAUUGGUUGGGAGUUCGAGCCUCCCCGUCGGCUCCA
rnacentral:tRNA from 1 species